AUCUUUAGUGAUACUGAAAAGCAAAUAACUGUUGGAUCUGGUUAGUACUUGGAUGGAAGACCACCAGGAAAUCCCAGGGUCAAAGACU
rnacentral:rRNA from 1 species